rnacentral:rRNA from 1 species
AGGAUCAUUACUAGAGCAAAGGAUAGACAGCGCCCGCGGAGCUCGCUCCCGGGGCUACCCUACUCCCGUAGGGUUUAGAGUCGUCGGGCCUCUCGGAGAAGCUCGGUCCUGAACUCCACCCUUGAAUAAACUACCUUUGUUGCUUUGGCGGGCCGCCUCGUGCCAGCGGCUUCGGCUGUUGAGUGCCCGCCAGAGGACCCCAACUCUUGUUUUUAGUGAUGUCUGAGUACUAUAUAAUAGUUAAAACUUUCAACAACGGAUCUCUUGGUUCUGGCAUCGAUGAAGAACGCAGCGAAAUGCGAUAAGUAAUGUGAAUUGCAGAAUUCAGUGAAUCAUCGAAUCUUUGAACGCACAUUGCGCCCUCUGGUAUUCCGGGGGGCAUGCCUGUUCGAGCGUCAUUAUAACCACUCAAGCUCUCGCUUGGUAUUGGGGUUCGCGCUUUCGCGGCCCCUAAAAUCAGUGGCGGUGCCUGUCGGCUCUACGCGUAGUAAUACUCCUCGCGAUUGAGUCCGGUAGGUCUACUUGCCAGCAACCCCUAAUUUUUUUAAGGUUGACCUCGGAUCAGGUAGGGAUACCCGCUGAACUUAAGCAUAUCAAUAAGCGGAGGAAAAGAAACCAACAGGGAUUACCUCAGUAACGGCGAGUGAAGCGGUAACAGCUCAAAUUUGAAAGCUGGCUCUUUUAGGGUCCGCGUUGUAAUUUGUAGAAGAUGCUUCGGGUGUGGCCCCGGUCUAAGUUCCUUGGAACAGGACGUCAUA